rnacentral:snoRNA from 1 species
AAUCUCCCAAUUCCUUAACUCAACAGAUCUAAACAUUGGUCUGCUUGGCUAUAAAAGGAGAACAAGUAAAACCAAUUGACCUGGAUUCUUGAGACAUAAAAGCUAAUUUCAAACAAAU